rnacentral:rRNA from 1 species
GACGAACGCUGGCGGCGUGCCUAAUACAUGCAAGUAGAACGCUGAAGGAGGAGCUUGCUUCUCUGGAUGAGUUGCGAACGGGUGAGUAACGCGUAGGUAACCUGCCUGGUAGCGGGGGAUAACUAUUGGAAACGAUAGCUAAUACCGCAUAAUAGUAGAUGUUGCAUGACAUUUGCUUAAAAGGUGCAAUUGCAUCACUACCAGAUGGACCUGCGUUGUAUUAGCUAGUUGGUGAGGUAACGGCUCACCAAGGCGACGAUACAUAGCCGACCUGAGAGGGUGAUCGGCCACACUGGGACUGAGACACGGCCCAGACUCCUACGGGAGGCAGCAGUAGGGAAUCUUCGGCAAUGGGGGGAACCCUGACCGAGCAACGCCGCGUGAGUGAAGAAGGUUUUCGGAUCGUAAAGCUCUGUUGUAAGAGAAGAACGAGUGUGAGAGUGGAAAGUUCACACUGUGACGUAUCUACCAGAAAGGACGCA